UACGAAGGGGGCUAGCGUUGCUCGGAAUUACUGGGCGUAAAGCGCACGUAGGCGGAUUGUUAAGUCGGGGGUGAAAUCCCGGAGCUCAACUCCGGAACUGCCUUCGAUACUGACGAGCUUGAGUCCGGGAGAGGUGAGUGGAACUGCGAGUGUAGAGGUGAAAUUCGUAGAUAUUCGCAAGAACACCAGUGGCGAAGGCGGCUCACUGGCCCGGUACUGACGCUGAGGUGCGAAAGCGUGGGGAGCAAACAGG
rnacentral:rRNA from 1 species